GAGGGUAUAGCUCAGUGGUAGAGCACAUGCUUAGCAUGCACAAGGUCCUGGAUUCAAUCCAAAGUACCUCCA
rnacentral:tRNA from 1 species